AUUGAGUUACCUAUUAGAGAGAUCAUAUGUUGAUUUGUUGUGCAAAGGUUGUAAACAGAACUUGUUAAACGACUCAGCAUAUGAUCUCUCUAAUAGGUAACUCAAUUCAAACAACCAUCAUGUACAAAAGUGCUCGCAAGACACAUCACAGCAACUCCACCAAAGUUCUGGACGCUCAGAGAGUUGCAAGGUCUUCACUCUUUAUCACAGUGUUCAGUUCACACCAGACGACUUUACAGUUCAAGCAAUAGUACAAUCAGCCAAGCUUACGCUUAGCUGAAGCUACAUACUUAGGUUUUUGAUGUUGAAGUUUCAGAACCCUUGGAAAGCAUCUUUG
rnacentral:misc_RNA from 1 species